UGAGUAACCUGCCCUUAACUCUGGGAUAAGCCUGGGAAACUGGGUCUAAUACCGGAUAUGACUCCUCAUCGCAUGGUGGGGGGUGGAAAGCUUUUUGUGGUUUUGGAUGGACUCGCGGCCUAUCAGCUUGUUGGUGAGGUAAUGGCUCACCAAGGCGACGACGGGUAGCCGGCCUGAGAGGGCGAUCGGCCACACUGGGACUGAGACACGGUCCAGACCUCCUACGGGGAGGCAG
rnacentral:rRNA from 1 species